GGAUGUAAGGGUGAUCUGGCUGUGACAUCUGUCACCCCAUUGAUCUCCAGGGUUGAUUCAGCUGAUCUGGCUAGUCGGGUGUCCCCUUUCUCCCUCACCACUCCAUGUGUGUCCCUCCUGAAGCUGUGCGAAGAGGACUUACUUCCUGGAAUAGAGGAGGACUGGUUUGGCCAAGGGUAUAGAGUAGCUAUGCUCCCCUGCUAGAACCUCCAAACAAGCUCUCAAGGUCCUGGACAUACAAUGACUAUUAUUUGCACUAUUAUUAUAAUAUUGGGGAUUGAACCC
rnacentral:snRNA from 1 species